AUGAACGCUAGCUACAGGCUUAACACAUGCAAGUCGAGGGGCAGCGGGAUUGAAGCUUGCUUCAAUUGCCGGCGACCGGCGCACGGGUGAGUAACGCGUAUCCAACCUUCCGCUUACUCGGGGAUAGCCUUUCGAAAGAAAGAUUAAUACCCGAUGGUAUCUUAAGCACGCAUGAGAUUAAGAUUAAAGAUUCAUCGGUAAGCGAUGGGGAUGCGUUCCAUUAGGCAGUUGGCGGGGUAACGGCCCACCAAACCUACGAUGGAUAGGGGUUCUGAGAGGAAGGUCCCCCACAUUGGAACUGAGACACGGUCCAAACUCCUACGGGAGGCAGCAGUGAGGAAUAUUGGUCAAUGGGCGAGAGCCUGAACCAGCCAAGUAGCGUGAAGGAUGACGGCCCUACGGGUUGUAAACUUCUUUUGUGCGGGAAUAAAGGAGCCUACGUGUAGGCUUUUGCAUGUACCGUAACGAAUAAGCAUCGGCUAACUCCGUGCCAGCAGCCGCGGUAAUACGGAGGAUGCGAGCGUUAUCCGGAUUUAUUGGGUUUAAAGGGAGCGUAGACGGGUUUUUAAGUCAGCUGUGAAAGUUUGGGGCUCAACCUUAAAAUUGCAGUUGAAACUGGAGACCUUGAGUACGGUUGAGGCAGGCGGAAUUCGUGGUGUAGCGGUGAAAUGCUUAGAUAUCACGAAGAACCCCGAUUGCGAAGGCAGCCUGCUAAGCCGCCACUGACGUUGAGGCUCGAAAGUGCGGGUAUCAAACAGGAUUAGAUACCCUGGUAGUCCGCACGGUAAACGAUGGAUACUCGCUGUUGGCGAUAGACGGUCAGCGGCCAAGCGAAAGCGUUAAGUAUCCCACCUGGGGAGUACGCCGGCAACGGUGAAACUCAAAGGAAUUGACGGGGGCCCGCACAAGCAGUGGAGUAUGUGGUUUAAUUCGACGCAACGCGAAGAACCUUACCAGGUCUUGACAUCGAGUGACCGCCUAAGAGAUUAGGCUUUCCCUUCGGGGACACAAAGACAGGUGGUGCAUGGUUGUCGUCAGCUCGUGUCGUGAGAUGUUGGGUUAAGUCCCGCAACGAGCGCAACCCUUGAUCUUAGUUGCCAGCAUUCAGUUGGGCACUCUAAGGUGACUGCCGGUGACAAACCGGAGGAAGGUGGGGAUGACGUCAAAUCAGCACGGCCCUUACGUCCGGGGCCACACACGUGUUACAAUGGGGAGUACAGAGGGCAGCUACCGGGCGAUCGGAUGCGAAUCCCGAAAGCUCCUCUCAGUUCGGACUGGAGUCUGCAACCCGACUCCACGAAGCUGGAUUCGCUAGUAAUCGCGCAUCAGCCACGGCGCGGUGAAUACGUUCCCGGGCCUUGUACACACCGCCCGUCAAGCCAUGAAAGCCGGGGGUACCUGAAGUACGUAACCGCGAGGAUCGUCCUAGGGUAAAACCGGUAAUUGGGGCU
rnacentral:rRNA from 1 species